rnacentral:piRNA from 1 species
AUAAGACACGACUCGAUGCACUGUGA